rnacentral:rRNA from 1 species
UGCAUAUCAAUAAGCGGAGGAAAAGAAACCAACAGGGAUUGCCCCAGUAACGGCGAGUGAAGCGGCAACAGCUCAAAUUUGAAAUCUGGCCCCCCCCGGGGGGCCCGAGUUGUAAUUUGCAGAGGAUGCUUUGGGCGAGGCGCCUUCCGAGUUCCCUGGAACGGGACGCCACAGAGGGUGAGAGCCCCGUCUGGUCGGACGCCGAGUCUCUGUAAAGCUCCUUCGACGAGUCGAGUAGUUUGGGAAUGCUGCUCAAAAUGGGAGGUAUAUGUCUUCUAAAGCUAAAUACCGGCCAGAGACCGAUAGCGCACAAGUAGAGUGAUCGAAAGAUGAAAAGCACCUUGAAAAGGGGGUUAAACAGUACGUGAAAUUGUUGAAAGGGAAGCGCUCGUGACCAGACUUGGGGCGGGCGGAUCAGCCGGCGUUCUCGCCGGCGCACUCCGCCCGUCCCAGGCCAGCAUCAGUUCGCGCCGGGGGACAAAGGCGGCGGGAACGUGGCUCCCCAGGGAGUGUUAUAGCCCGCCGCGCCAUGCCCCGGGGGCGGACUGAGGGCCGCGCAUCACUGCAAGGAUGCUGGCGUAAUGGUCACCAGCGACCCGUCUUGAAACACGGACC